rnacentral:lncRNA from 1 species
UACAAAUGCUCGCAGUUUAGGGAAUAAGAUCCAUGAACUUGUGGCAAUAAUGGCAACUGAUAGUGUAGAUUUAGUCGCUAUUACUGAGACAUGGUACAAUGAGAAAAAUGACUGGGACAUAGCAAUACCAGGGUACUCUUUAUAUAGAAAAGAUAGGGAAGGCAAGAAAGGGGGAGGGGUAGCCCUGUAUGUAAAGGAUAGCAUAAAAUCUAGCCUAAUAAACGUUAGUGAGGCGAACAUAGAGUCCGUUUAGGUUACGUUAGAAUUUGGUAAUCACACAGUAACUUGUGUAGGUGUGAUUUAUAAGCCCCCAGGACAAAUUGAAGAGUUAGAUAAUCUACUCGUUGAGGAAAUAGCUAAAAUGACAAUGAAGGGGGAAGUUAUCAUCAUGGGUGACUUUAAUCUUCCUGAUGUGAAUUGGAAAACAAAAAUAGCUACUUCUGCCAGGAGCACACAUAUUCUAAACUCCCUACUGGGAUUGUCUCUAAAACAAGUUGUCGAGGAGCCAACUCGUAAAGAGGCCAUACUAGAUUUAGUGUUAACAAAUGGAGAUUUGGUAUCAGAUAUUACUGUAGGUGAAAGUUUUGGAUCCAGUGAUCAUCAGUUAGUGUGGUUUAAUAUAAGAACAGUGACUGAGUCACACCACACAAAAACAAAAGUCUUAGACUUUAGAAAAACAGACUUUUCUAAAAUUAGAAUAUGUGUAGAGGAGUCAUUAUCAGAC